UACGAAGGGGGCUAGCGUUGUUCGGAAUUACUGGGCGUAAAGGGCGCGUAGGCGGCGUGUCAAGUCAGGCGUGAAAGCCCCGGGCUCAACCUGGGAACCGCGCUUGAGACUGGCAUGCUCGAGUUCGGGAGAGGAUGGUGGAACUCCCAGUGUAGAGGUGAAAUUCGUAGAUAUUGGGAAGAACACCGAUGGCGAAGGCAGCCAUCUGGACCGACACUGACGCUGAGGCGCGAAAGCGUGGGGAGCAAACAGG
rnacentral:rRNA from 1 species